rnacentral:lncRNA from 1 species
UAAAAUAUUUUAAAAGAUUUAUUCUGAGCCAAAUAUAAGUGACCAUGGCCUGUGGACACAGUCCUCAGGAGGUCCUGAGAACAUGUGCCCAAGGUGGCCGGGGUUGGGGCACAACUUGCUUUUAUACAUUUAAAGAGCCAUGAGACAUCAAUCAAAUAUAUUUAAGAAAUACAUUGGUUAGGUCCAGAAAGGCCGGACAACUCAAAGGCGGGCGGGGUAGGAGGGAACUUCCAACAUUUUCUGGUUGACAAUUGGUUGAGUUUGUCUAAAGACCUGGGAUGGAUAGAAAGGAAAUGCUCAGGUUAAGAUAAAAGAUUGUGGAGAACAAGGUUCUUUUUGAAGUGGCUGCCCUUAGAGACAACCGAUGACACAUGUUUCCUAUUCAGAUCUUUAAAAGGUGCUAGACUUUUAGUUAAUAUCUUUACUAUUGCGGGGGAUGGCACGGGGGUACCUGGAAGAAAAAGAUCCAGCUAUGUUAAUGGAGAUUCUCCGCAGAUGCAAAUUUUCCCCCACAAAGGACAGCUUUGCAGGGCCAUUUCAAGAUAUGGCAAAGAAACAUGUUUUGGGGUAAAAUAUUUUUAUUUUCUUCCUUGUCUUGUAAUGUUAUGCCAGAGUCAGGUUGCAAAGUAACUCAUGAUAUAUAGAGCUAAAUAAAACCCAUCUGAUGAGAAUUUAUGGUUUAUAGGGCAUGACCCUCCAGACCCCUUAGAUAGGAAUUUGGGCAAGAUUAAAAAAAUCAGAGCUUAGUUCUCAGUCAGGAUGAGGAUGAUGGGGGCAGAGUACAGGGCAAGGGGUUAAUGUGUGGCUGGAACAAGGCUGUGCCUGGGGGGAGAUCAACUUGAGAAGGUAUUAGGCUGCAGGGCAUAGGGACAUAAUGCUGGAAGAAACUGUUCAAAGAGCUGCGUGCCCAAUUGGGUGAGACUUUAAAUGUAUUUUUUUUUCAGAUUUGAGAAGAAUCUGGUCAUCUGGCCGUGAAAUUCAAAGUCUGUGUAUAACUUAAUUCAUAGACAUGUGUGCAUGUACACACACACAUGCCCCCAUAGAAAUGACUCUUUGAAUUCCUCAAACAUUCAGUUCCUUUAGGUUGUGGCUUUUAUUGCCAAUUGAAAUUAAUCACCAGGGAAGGCCAGUAUACAAAUUCUCGAGUUGUUUCCAUUUCUACAUGAGCAUGUUUACAACAUGCUUUCCAUGCAGUUAGGGUUUAUGAAAAGAGGGGUAUGAGUCCAGAGCCAGAGCCAUGGUGGGUGCCAGACAGAUCCCUAAGGAAAGGGCAAAAGCCAGCAAGCCAGAUGCCACAGGUUUACAGUCACCAGGGAUGUCCUCCACAGUGGAUGCCUUGAGUAGGCCCCUCCCUCUUCAGGAAAAGGCUUGGACUUCCAGGCCCCAGGUCCAUCCAUAAAUUACUUUUGUCCAUUAUCUCUAAAGACCACAAAUUCAUUAAAAUGAAACAAAACAUAGCUACAUACAUAUCACCAAGGGUUGGUCUGCCUUAUUGUUUGUUCAUGACAUCCUUAGGAUUUGUGUAGACACAGCACAAUGUGAAACUGUGAGAAUGUAAAAUUAUUAAAGAAUGAGGCAAAUAUACCUAGAGUCACUUUCAUCUUCUGCACUAGGGGUUUAAUGGCAUCUUAAUCCAGAUGACCUAUCAUAUUAGUCCAUUUUCACGUUGCUGAUAAAGACAUACCCGAGACUGGGCAAUUUACAAAAGAAAGAGGUUUAAUGGACUUAGAGUUCCAUGUGGCCAGGAAGGCCUCACAAUCAAGGUGGAAGGCGAAAGCCAUGUUUCACAUGGCGGCAGACAAGAGAAGAGAGCUUGUGCAGGGAAACGCCCCUUUUAAAGCCAUCAGAUCUUGUGAGACUCAUUCACUAUCAUGAGAACACCGCAGGAAAGACCCACCCCCAUAAUUCAAUCACCUCCCAUUAGGUUUCUCCCACAACAUGUGGGAAUCGUGGGAAUUACAAUCAAGAUGAGAUUUGGGUGGGGACACAGCCAAACCAUAUCACCUAUAUCUACUAAUUAAUACUAUUCAAAUGUUAUCACACUAUAAAUUUUAUAUGGUUUGCCUGUGUCGCCACCUAAAUCUCAUCCUGAAUUGUAACUCCCAUAAUUCCCAUGUGUCACAGAAAGGACCCAGUGGGAGAUAAUUGAAACGUGGGGUUGGUUUCCCCAUACUGUUCUCCUUGUAAUGAGUUAAGUCCGUGAGAUCUGAUGUUUUUAUACGAGGUUUCCCCUUUCACUUGGCUCUCAUUCUCCCUUGCCUGCUGCCAUGCAAGACUUGACUUUGCUCCUCCUUUGCCUUCCACCAUGAUUGUGAGGCCUCACCAGCCACGUGGAAUUGUGAGUCAAUUAAACCUCUUUCCUUAUAAAUUAUGCAGUCUCAGGUAUGUCUUUAUUAGCAAUGUGAGAACAGACUAAUACAGUAAAUUGGUACUGAUAGAGUGGGGCGCUGCUAUAAAGAUACCCGAAAAUGCGGAAGCGACUUUGGAACUGGGUAACAGGCAGAGGUUGGAAGAGUUUGGAGGGCUCAGAAGAAGACAGGAAAAUGUGGCCUUGACAAAAAUGCUGAUAGUGAUACGGACAAUGAAGUCCAGGCUGAGGUGCUCUCAGAUGGAGAUGAGGAACUUGUUGGAAACUGGAGUAAAGGUGACUCUUGCUACGUUUUAGCAAAGAGACUGGUGGCAUUUUGCCCCUGCCCUAGGUUCGUGGAACUUUGAACUUGAGGAAGAUGAUUUAGGGCAUCUGACAGAAAAAAAUUGCUAAGCAGCAAAGCAUUCAAGUGAUGACUUAGGUGCUAUUAAGAACAUUCAGUUUUAAAAGGGAAACAGAGCAUAAAAGUUUGGAAAAUUUGCAGCCUGAUGAUGCCAUGUGAUAGAAAAGAAAAUCCAAUUUUCCAAGGAGAAAUUCAAGCCAGCUGCAGAAAUUUGCAUAAGUAAUGAGGAGCUAAAUGUUAAUUGGCAAGAUAAUAGGGAAAAUGUCUCCAGGGCAUGUCAGAGACAUUUGAGGCAGCCCCUCCCAUCAUAGGCCCUCAGGCCUAGAAGGAAAAAAUGGUUUCCUGGCCAUGUCCAGGGCCCCCCUGCUAUGUGCAGCCUAGGGUCUUGGUGCCCUGUGUCCCAGCCACUUCAGCCAUGGCUAAAAGGGGCCAAGAUACAGCUCAGGCCAUGGCUUCAGAGGGUGCAAGCCCCAAGCCUUGGCAGCUUCCACAUGGUGUUGAGCCUGUGGGUGCACAGAAGUCAAGAACUGAGGUUUGGGAACCUCUGCCUAGAUUUCAGAGGAUGUAUGGAAAUGUCUGGAUGUCCAGGCAAAAGCUUGCUGCAGGGGUGGGGCCCUCAUGGAGAACCUCUGCUAGAGCAGUGAGGAAGGAAAAUGUGGGGUAGAAGCCCCGACAAAAAGUCCCCACUGGGGCACUGUCUAGUGGAGCUGUUAGAAGAGGGCCACCAGCCUCCAGACCCCAGAAUGAAAGAUCCACUCACAGCGUGCACUGUGUGCCUGGAAAAGCCACAGACACUCUAUGCCAGCCUGUGAAAGCAGCUGGGAGGGAGGCUGUAUCCUACAAAGCCACAGGGGUGGAGCUGCCCAAGACCAUGGGAACCCACCUCUUGCAUCAGCGUGACCUGGAUGUGAGACAUGGAGUCAAAGGAGAUCAUUUUGGAGCUUUAAGAUUUGACUGCCCUGCUGCAUUUUGGAUUUGCAUGGGGCCUUUAGCCUCUUCAUUUUGACCAAUUUCUCCUGUUUGGAAUGGGUGUAUUUAUCCAAUUCCUGUACCCCCAUUAUAUCUAGGAAGUAACUAACUUGCUUUUGAUUUUACAGGCUCAUAGGUGGAAGGAACUUCCCUUAUCUCAGAUGAGACUUUGGACUAUGGACUUUUGAGUUAAUGCUGAAAUGAGUUAAGACUUUGGGGGACUAUUAGGAAGGCAUGAUUGGUUUUGAAAUGUGAAGGCAUGAGCUUUGGCAGCGGCUGAGGUGGAAUGAUAUGGUUUGGCUGUGUCCCCACCCAAAUCUCACCUUGAAUUGUGGCUCCCAUAAUUCCUAUGUGUUGUGGGAGGGACCCAGUGGGAGAUAAUUGAAUCAUGGGGGAGGUUCCCCCAUAGUGUUCACAUGGUAGUGAAUAAAUCUCUCAAGAUCUGUUGUUUUUAUAAGGGGCUCCCCCUUUCACUUGGCUCUCAUUCUGUCUUGCCUGCUGCCAUGCAAGACAUGACUUUGCUCCUCCUUUGCCUUCCACCACAAAUGUGAGGCCUCCCCAGCCAUGUGGAACUGUGAGUCAAUUAAACUUCUUUCCUUUAUAAAAUACCCAGUCUUGGGUAUGUGUUUAUUAGCAGCAUGAGAACAGAGUAAUAUAAAAUGCUAGAUUGUCUUUACAAAAAAAAAAGAGUGUAUAUUCAAAGGAAAAGAGGACUUUUUUAGGGGGGCAGGGGGGUGGAAUGGAGUCUGGCUUUGUUGCCCAGGCUGGAGUACAGUGGUGCAGUCUCAGCUCACUGCAGCCUCUGCCUCUCAUGUUCAAGUGAUUCUCAUGCCUCAGCCUCCUAAGUAGCAGGGACCACACCACAUGAUUCACCACAUCCUGCUAGUUUUUUGUAUUUUUAGUAGAGAUGGGGUUUUACCAUGUUGCUCAGGCUGGUCUCAAACUCCUGACCUCAGGUGAUCCGCCCACCUCGGCCUCCCAAAACUGAGAUUACAGGUGUGAGCCCCCAUGCCCAGCAAAAGAGUACAUUUUUGUCUAUGUGAUUAUGCAAAGCCUGCCCUAAUUGCUAUUAAAUUAUUUUAUUUUCUUUUUUGAGACAGUGUCUUACUCUGUCAUCUGGGCUGGGGUGCAGUGAUGCAAUCUUGGUUCACUGCGGCCUCGACCUCCUGGGCUCAGGUAAUCCUCUGACCUCAGCCUCCUGAGUAGCUGGUAACAGGCACCCAACACCACACCUGGCUCCUCUUUUUUUUUUUUUUUUUUUUUUUGUAGAGAUGCGUUUCACCAUGUUGUCCAGGCUGGUCUCAAUUCCUGGGCUAGAGUAAUUUGCCCAUCUUGGACUCCCAAAGUGCUGGGAUUACAGGCAUGAGCCACUGCACCCAGCCUGAAUUCUUAGCAAUAAUCUUUGAAAUCUGCAAAUAGACAUGACUUACUUGGCAUCAUCAAACAAGAUUUAUCAGGUCUUUCUUUCAGAACAGAGCCCAGUUAUAAUGGCAAUCUGAUUAAAGGCUAACUCAACUAAAGAUAAGUGCCCCUGGGAGGAGCAGCAACUGAGUUUCUCAUUGGCUCAGAGAGGAGCAGCUCCUGAGUUUCUUAUCUGGUAAGUCCUACUGAAUAUGAAGUACUUGAGCAAAGCAUGCUGAUGGUUAUCACGGCUACAUCAAAAAGGAAAAGGUAUGGUAUGCAAAUGCACCUUAGAUAUGGGCUGGCAGUUAUAGUCACAGUCAAAAACGCAGUAUAUGUCGGAGUAAUGGUUGCUAAGACUUAAAGCCAUUAGAGUAACCAGAAUGUGUUCCCAUGUAAAGACCAGCUUUUGAGUUGAUCCUACAGUCAGUGUUGGUUGACUUGCCUUCCCCACUCAGGGUCUUGGUUUAAAAGAAUGGGUGUCAUUCCUGACUGCUGCAUCCCACUCUUAUCUGAGUUCUGCUACCAUUUACUCACCAUCCACAUGCAUCCUACUUUAGAAAUCUGAAUGCUCAAAUAAUUGCUACACUAUAAAAAGUGCUCAGGAUAAGAUAGGAGGUUGGCAUGUGAUACAGGUCACAAAGACCCUGCUGAUUAAACAGGAUGCAGUAAGGAAGCUGGCCAACACCAACCCAAACCAAGAUGGUGAUGAAAGUGACCUCUUGUCAUCCUUACUGCUCAUUACAUCCCAAUUACAUUAACAUGCUAAAAAACUCCCACCAGUGCUAUGACAGUUUACAAGUACCAUGGCAUUUGUAAAGUUACCCUAUAUAGAAGUUAUCCUAUAUAUAGUCUAAAAAACUAUAGGCUAUAUACUCUAAAAAACCCUAUAUAGAAGUUACCCUAUAUAGUCUGUUCCCUCAGUUCUGGGAAAUCUCUGCCCUUUCCCCAGAAAACUCAUGAAUAAUCCACCCCUUGUUUAGCACAUAAUCAAGAAAUAACUAUAAGUAUACUCAGUUAAGCAGCCCAUACUGCUGCUCUGUCUAUGAAGCAGUCAUUCUUUUGUUUCUCUACUUCUCGAAUUAACUUGCUUUCACUUUUACUCUAUGGACUUGCCCUGAAUUCUUUCCCACGCAAGGUUCAAGAAUCUGCUCUUGGGGUCUGGAUAGGGACCCCUUUCUGGUAACACUAGUGGUAAAUGUUAACUAUUGUUAAUUAAAAUUAUAAAAUUCAGCAUGAAAAAGCUGCCUUGCAUACACACUGCUCAAAAUACCUUUUGCCAAAGCAGGUGAAGAUGGUGCAGUCUUAUGAGCAUGUUUAAAAGCAAUGGUGGGCCGGGCAUGGUGGCUCAUGCCUGUAAUCCCAACACUUUGAGAGGCUGAGGUGGGUGGAUCACUUGAGGCCA